rnacentral:rRNA from 1 species
UCACUAGUAGAUGGACCUGCGUUGUAUUAGCUAGUUGGUGAGGUAACGGCUCACCAAGGCGACGAUACAUAGCCGACCUGAGAGGGUGAUCGGCCACACUGGGACUGAGACACGGCCCAGACUCCUACGGGAGGCAGCAGUAGGGAAUCUUCGGCAAUGGGGGCAACCCUGACCGAGCAACGCCGCGUGAGUGAAGAAGGUUUUCGGAUCGUAAAGCUCUGUUGU